rnacentral:lncRNA from 1 species
GCCUUCAUGCUCUUCCUGAAAGAACAGAGUAUGAACUUAACCCAAACAUUACUCCAGAGCUCCUUACUGCAUCCAUACAGAGUUUUUGGGGCACCUGCAGAUGCCCCAAAUUUGUUUUAUAUCCAGUGGAAUUUCUUCCCUGAUAAGCUGACUUGCCAUCACAGAAUCAUAGAACAAUUCAGGUUGGAAAGGACCCCAUCUUCAAGCAGUUUCAUAAUCAAGAAUGCAGGCAUAUCCUUGAAGCUGAGGACAACAUGUAUAGCAUGGAAGUCUAUUCAUCCAUUCCUGAAAAGGUCUACAGUUCAAGUAGCAGACAGCUCUAUAGCAACGUAUUAACUAAAACAUAGCUGGAUGAAGAUCAGGCACUCUAUGCCAUGAAAUCAUACUCUCAUGAGACUGGCAUGCCCAUAGGAGAGCCACACAUCUGUCAGGGGAGACUGACAGACUAGCCAACCAACCUGUUAAUGUCCUAAUUUUUUUCUGUAGCAAUUAAUGUAACAAAUUCAAUGUGAGACAGCAGAGCAGACAAACAUUAUUUUUACUUUAGACAAACUGAUCUCACUCAGCUGUGUUCAUCCUUUCAUACUAAAUUUUUCAUGCUCACAAGACACAAAAUGUGUGUAUCCAAUUAGUUUAGCCAGAGUUUCUUGUGUGUGACCCAAAAGGAAAGGGAUGGCCACUCUCAAGUCCUUGGCAUGUCUCCUGGGUUCUUGUGACCGAAAACAAGCAAGUGGUUUUCAGACAUGCCUUUGGUACAUACCCCUUGGGAUUUUAUAGUAUUACAUCUUUUGCCUCUUCACCCUAUCUUACCUCUCAUGAGUCAUCAUGCAACUUUGCUGAUUUACUCAUUUUUUGUCUCCUUUAGCUGAGUGGCCUAUGACUGUAGCUCUUCUCUUUAUUUCCUGCCAUCUUCUCUUAAUGGCUUCAAACGGUCCUUUUUUUCCUGAUCAUGAGCAAUGCUUCCACUAUGUGCUUUGAUCUGAUGACCUGCUUUUCUAGGUGCCAUCAACACGUGCCAUUCUUCUAACCCUUCUUCUCCAGUAUAUUCUUCUGUUUUUAUACAUGUACAUUCAUAAUUGUUCAUACAGAUGUUAGUAUUCUAUUGUAAAUCUCUAUACUCUCAAAUAGACUCUGAAGGGUUCUACAUCAAACCACACUUUUCAUGAGUAAGGGAUACCUCCCAUUGGAGAUGGACUGUUUACAUCCAAGGAAGACUGUAUGGUCAUUUACUUUUAAAGCGGAAAAGAUUUAUGUCCACAGAAAAUGUUUUCUUGAUCUGCUUCGUAUCUGAUAUAUGCAUUCAUCCUGAUAUAUGCAUCCAUGCAUUCCUGAUUCC